CCUACGGGAGGCUGCAGUGGGGAAUAUUGGGCAAUGGGCGCAAGCCUGACCCAGCAACGCCGCGUGAAGGAAGAAGGCUUUCGGUUUGUAAACUUCUUUUCUGAGGGACGAAGAAAGUGACGGUACCCCAGGAAUCAGCCACGGCUAACUACGUGCCAGCAGCCGCGGUAAUACGUAGGUGGCAGGCGUUCUCCGGAUUUAUUGGGUGUAAAGGGCGUGUAGGCGGGAAAGCAAGUCAGAUGUGAAACCUCAGGGCUCAACCCUGAGACUGCAUUUGAAACUGUUUUUCUUGAGUGCUGGAGAGGUAAGCGGAAUUCCGAGUGUAGCGGUGAAAUGCGUAGAUAUAAGGAGGAACACCAGUGGCGAAGGCGGAUUGCUGGACUGUAAAUGACGCUGAGGCGCGAAAGCGUGGGGAGCAAACAGGAUUAGAUACCCUAGUAGUC
rnacentral:rRNA from 1 species